CCAGACUCCUACGGGAGGCAGCAGUAGGGAAUCUUUCACAAUGGGCGAAAGCCUGAUGGAGCAACGCCGCGUGCAGGAUGAAGGCCUUCGGGUUGUAAACUGCUUUUAUAAGCGAGAAAUAUGAUGGUAACUUAUGAAUAAGGAUCGGCUAACUACGUGCCAGCAGCCGCGGUAAUACGUAGGGGGCUAGCGUUAUCCGGAAUUACUGGGCGUAAAGGGUGCGUAGGUGGUUUCUUAAGUCAGAGGUGAAAGGCUACGGCUCAACCGUAGUAAGCCUUUGAAACUGGGGAACUUGAGUGCAGGAGAGGAGAGUGGAAUUCCUAGUGUAGCGGUGAAAUGCGUAGAUAUUAGGAGGAACACCAGUUGCGAAGGCGGCUCUCUGGACUGUAACUGACACUGAGGCACGAAAGCGUGGGGAGCAAACAGGAUUAGAUACCCCAGUA
rnacentral:rRNA from 1 species